UACGUAGGGGGCAAGCGUUAUCCGGAUUUACUGGGUGUAAAGGGAGCGUAGACGGCAGGGCAAGUCUGGAGUGAAAGGCAGGGGCCCAACCCCUGGACUGCUCUGGAAACUGUCCGGCUGGAGUGCAGGAGAGGUAAGUGGAAUUCCUAGUGUAGCGGUGAAAUGCGUAGAUAUUAGGAGGAACACCAGUGGCGAAGGCGGCCUGCUGGACAGAAACUGACGUUGAGGCUCGAAAGCGUGGGGAGCAAACAGG
rnacentral:rRNA from 1 species